UCCGGUCACAUCACAUUGCAACACCGGUUCCCAUACGAAGUUAAGCAAUGUCAAGUCUGGUCAGUACCUAGAUGGGUGACCGUUUGUGAAUGCCAGGUGCUGUAA